UCCCGCUUGACGCGGGCAGUCUCCCUAGAGUGCCCAACUUAAUGCUGGCAACUAAAGACAAGGGUUGCGCUCGUUAUGGGACUUAACCCGACAUCUCACGACACGAGCUGACGACAGCCAUGCAGCACCUGAUACUAGUGUCCCGAAGGCCUACAAUAUCUCUACUGUAUUCACUAGCACUUCAAACCCAGGUAAGGUUUUUCGCGUUGCAUCGAAUUGAACCACAUGCUCCACCGCUUGUGCGGGCCCCCGUCAAUUUCUUUGAGUUUUAAUCUUGCGACCGUACUUCCCAGGCGGAACACUUAACGCGUUAGCUUCGGCACUAGAGGGGUCAAUACCUCUAACACCAAGUGUUCAUCGUUUACGGCGUGGACUAC
rnacentral:misc_RNA from 1 species